rnacentral:rRNA from 1 species
AUUGAACGCUGGCGGCAUGCCUUACACAUGCAAGUCGAACGGCAGCACGGGUGCUUGCACCUGGUGGCGAGUGGCGAACGGGUGAGUAAUACAUCGGAACAUGUCCUGUAGUGGGGGAUAGCCCGGCGAAAGCCGGAUUAAUACCGCAUACGAUCUACGGAUGAAAGCGGGGGACGUUCGGGCCUCGCGCUAUAGGGUUGGCCGAUGGCGGAUUAGGUAGUUGGUGGGGUAAAGGCCCAACCAGGCGACGAUCAGGAGCUGGUCCGAGAGGACGACCAGCCCCACUGGAAACUAGACACGGUCCAGAACCCUAAGGGAGGCAGCAGUGGGGAAUAUUGGACAAUGGGGGGAAGCCCUAUCCCACCAUACCGCGUGGUGGAAAAAGGCCUUCGGGUUUUAAAGCCAUUUUGUUCGGAAAGAAAAUCCUUAGCCUAAUACCGGGCGGGGGUGACGGUACCCGAAGAAUAAGCCCCGGCCAACUUCGUG